CUUGGAGACUCCUAAGAUCAGGGGAGGCACCAACUCUGAAGCAUCUUCCUCGCUCCACUUUCCGUUGCGUAGGACCUGGUAAGAGUAGAUAGAAAGUCAAAACUAAGGAACACUUGAGAGGUGAUGUCUUGGGGCUUUAUGGAAAAUUAAAUAACAGAUAGAAGUAUUUUUAACAUACCUUGGCUUUUGGGGCCAACCGAGCCAUAAGG
rnacentral:misc_RNA from 1 species